GUUGAAUUGCCAAAUAAUGAAAGCUUUGAAGUAGAAACUGUAGAAAACUCUGAAGAAGAAUGCACGGGAAGCUGUAAGGUUGAAUUGCCAAAUAAUGAAGGCUUUGAAGAGGAAACUGUAGAAAGCUCUGAAGAAGAAAAUGUGAAAAGCUCUAAAGAAGAAUGUGUGGAAAAAUCUAAAGAAGAAAGCGUGGGAAGCUCUAAGAUUGAAUUGCGAAAUAAUGAAAGCUCUGAAGAAGUAGAAAGUGUGGAAAGCUCUAUAGAAGGAAGCGUGGGAAGGUCUAAUGAAUU